AUACGGAGGAUGCGAGCGUUAUCCGGAUUUAUUGGGUUUAAAGGGAGCGUAGGUGGGAUAUUAAGUCAGCUGUGAAAGUUUGGGGCUCAACCUCAAAAUUGCAGUUGAUACUGGUUUCCUUGAGUACGGUACAGGUGGGCGGAAUUCGUGGUGUAGCGGUGAAAUGCUUAGAUAUCACGAAGAACUCCGAUCGCGAAGGCAGCUCACCGGGCCGGAACUGACACUGAUGCUCGAAAGUGCGGGUAUCAAACAGGAUUAGAUACCCUGGUAGUCCGCACAGUAAACGAUGAAUACUCGCUGUUUGCGAUACACGGUAAGCGGCCAAGCGAAAGCGUUAAGUAUUCCACCUGGGGAGUACGCCGGCAACAGUGAAACUCAAAUGAAUUGACGGGG
rnacentral:rRNA from 1 species